GACGUAGGGCGCGAGCGUUGUCCGGAUUUAUUGGGCGUAAAGAGCUCGUAGGCGGCUUGUCGCGUCGUCCGUGAAAACCUGCGGCUCAACUGCAGGCUUGCGGUCGAUACGGGCAGGCUGGAGUUCGGUAGGGGAGACUGGAAUUCUUGGUGUAGCGGUGAAAUGCGUAGAUAUCAAGAGGAACACCUGCGGCGAAGGCGGGUUGCUGGGCCGACACUGACGCUGAUGCGCGAAAGCCAGGGGAGCGAACGGG
rnacentral:rRNA from 1 species